AAAAGUAACUAUCUAUGUACAAUAUUAUUAAUAUUAAUGAUCUCGCAUGUGUGUAAAUGAAACAGUGAGAGAAGUGGUGUGUUGGCAAUGAUUAGAACGAAAUAGUUCCAUAGCCAAAAUAUAUAUUUUUUGACUUUCCGCGUGUAUUUAAGAAUUUGUGUGGGUAUUUGUUAAGUUUGAACAUUUUUUUAAAUCUCUGGUGAAAUAAAAACGUUAUGUUAACGGUAAAAAAAUAUUACGUGCCGAAACCGUGGUCGCGCAUUAAUAAUGUUAAUAGUCACUUGAUUGUUUUCUCUUUCAGCCGUUUGCAGUCUGCACAGAUUACGCCAUAUUGCAGUGUGUUUUAAUAUAUUACUGACCGUGAAAUAACGUACAGUUUGUGUUUCAGGAUUUUGUGUUAAUAUUGUGUAUUUUAACUUUGUUAUAUUAUUUAUUAUCUACUAUUGUAAUGAUGGAAUUUGUUAUCGUUUUGAUAUUUUGUGUGGUUCUUGUGAUUGCUGUAAUGGUAAUUGGUUCCGGAAUGGGGAAAGCUACUUCUUCGCAGCGUCAGAUGGACAUCAUUAACGUCGCUCAGAACUUAUAUGUUUUAAUUAAAAAAGACGACUUGAAGAAAUGUGACGUUACGCAGACGACCGCGUUUCUUCUUAACAUCGCAAAGUCAACUGUUCUCAAGUAAGUAGGCUUUUUUCGUUUUCAUGGACGUAAAAAAAAUAUCGACUGUGUCCUAAGUAUUGUCGGCUUGUGUUUUAACUCACGAGGUUUUUUGUGUUUUAUUUCCAAUUUAUAUUUUUUGGUGUGAGACAACACCACCAUGUGGCGUCUCUGUUGAAAAGUUAACCUAAAAUCAUAUUAGGCCUACUCAGGUCCUAACAAUAACAAUAUAGGCACUUUCAAGUAUUUUUAUGGGUGUGAUACACGUUUGUUUAUAACGAUGUUUAUAAACUUUAUGAUAGGUUUAACUAUAACAUAAGGGAGUGAUUUUAUAAUUUGCAUUUAAUUAGUUUUUCAUCUGUUUGGGAGAUCACAAAAUAAAUAAAAAAACACUUCAUUAAUUUCGUGGACAAAGUCUGUCAUGUUUCCAUUUAGUGACCACAAAGCAAAUAUUUGUGACAAAAUGCCAUAUUUGGAACACUGCCUAACUGCGUAUUGUGAACGGGUCCCCGGAAAAGUGUUAUGACAAAUGUUUUUUUUUUUGGUUAGGUACUACAAGAAAGACAUUGAAGAAGUUUCAACACCAGGAAAAAAGAGGAAAAAAAGGCCACAGGAAGGAAAGUCACUUGACACAGUCGACGAUUUCACAGUAAAUGCAAUCAGGAAUGCAAUUUACAGGAUGUACGCUGAAGGUUUGAAUGUUACAGUCGACACCAUUUUGAAAGAAAUCAGGGAAAGACAAAUAGAUUAUUAUGGUGGAAGAUCAAGUCUUCAUAAAUUGUUAAAGAAGAUGGGAUUUUCAUGGACAACUGUUGAUGGACGAAAAGCUUUGAUAGAGAAUGAAAACAUAGUAUUGAAGCGAAUAGAUUUCUUGAGAAAGUAUAAAGAAGAAAAAGAAAGCGGUGCCAAUUUCAUAUUUGUUGAUGAAACAUGGAUUUUCCAGAGAGGCAAGGCAUUAAUUUAUUUGAAAAUUUGUUCUGUGGUCCAAUACAAAGUAUUUCAUUUCCAUUUCAUAUAUUUUUCAGGAACUGUAUCAAAGUCAUGGCAGGACAAGAGUCUACAAUCUGCGAAGAGACGUACUGUUGGAGAUGGUAAAAGGUUUAUUGUUGUUAAUGCUGGAGGGCGCACUGGCUUUGUGCCAGGAGCAGGAUUACUUUUUGUUUCAGGUCAGAAGACUGCAGACUACCAUGGCGAGAUGAAUGGGGAAACUUUCUUGAUGUGGUUUGAAGACAUGUUGGUGCAUAAUGGACAAUGCUUCAUAUCACAGCACCCAGAUGGGCGAGGUGUGUGGAUCACGUGGAGAAGCUAAUUCAAGCAGACUGGGAGAGAGAAGUCCACAUAGACAGCGGCACCAUUCCUCCACUCAUCAUCCACCUCGGCGAGGAUAGUUCAAGUGAAGACAGUGACAGCGAAGAAUUUGAGGUUACGACACAGCAAGUAGAUGGAGACAGUGAAGUACUGGCAGUUCCUCUUGAUGAUUUACCCGGGUGUUCUUAUUGAGGUCUGUAUGUAAUAAACACCUGGGCAACUGUAAGUAUUGGGGUUUGAAACAUUUUUUUUUUCUUUUAUGCAUUCCCAUUAAGUAUGUUGAUUACUGGAACUUUAUGUAUUAACUUUAUAUUACACAUAUUAUAAAAUUAAUAAUAAAUUUCAUUUCUGGAUUCGUAUAGGUGUAUGUGAAACAUUUUAUUUUGUUGUGUCUCUUCAUUUUUCAGUGAACUUACUUGGAAAACAAAAAGCCAGUCCCCAUCCAGGGCCACGAAUAAAUAAUGCAUAUAAGUGGUAUAGAAAUUACUGUCAAUUCUUUACCACAAUUUUACUGUUCAUAAAAUUAUGAUUUUGUCUAAUAAGUAUACUCAGGAAAAUGUAUAUAACCAUAUUUUUAUUUGUGGUAGGGGUUUAUUAAAUAAAAGAAGAAAAUUCAUUUUUAAAUGUUUUCAUCUGAAUUUGUUAAUUUUAUUAAAUCUUCAAUCCUUAGUCUUUUCCAGAUUGCUUAGAUGGACAGCCAUAUGUAUAAUUUACAAUACUUUUUUUUUCAGAUGCAGAAAACUGUGUUGAA